CUUGUCAACAAUGACGAAGAGGACUAUAGCCACGUGUCCACUAGAUGCGAUUUUCCCGCACGGCAACGCACCGCAUCUGAAAAUUGCACGGAUGGCGGGCGGUCACUAGCGGACCACAGCAUUGUCACGUGACAGCGGUCGAGCAACAGUGGGCCACUACUCGGUCACGUGACAGCACUUUCAGCUUGACGGUCCGGUAGAUGACUCGGAUAAACACAGUGGCUCGGCCGCAAACUUUCUCUUUUAUUUUGAACACACUUCAGCGAGAGGGCGGUGCCACGCUCCCAUCUGGGAGAGGGCUGCGCGUCUUGUACGUGCAUCCUCUCUCCCUGGAGCCGGAGGGCUACAUCAGUAGCGUGGUUUGGCGUGGAUCUGCGUGGUAGUUAUGAGACGCUGGCUGUCGAGCUUUCGCUAUUCCCUUUCAUCUGGAGCUGUUGGGCCAGGUGGCUGGUGGCUGACUGAUUCCCCCGGCGGUGGUAGUCCCUUCACUCCCUGUAUAGUAGUGCACUUGGGUGUCCGUCAAUGGUUUUGUUUUGUUCGCGUGUCAUCAGGACCCUUCCCUUCCCCCCUUCAGUUAGUCAUCCCUGCCUGUGAUUGGGCUGCAUUUUUCUGCGGCUGUCUCCUCUGUUGCCUGACAAGCUGCGGGUUCACUGACGGGUGGCUCUACCUCCUGAAGCGGGCUGCUGCUGUUCUGUCUGUGGUUCAUCACGGAGCUGUUGGGCCAGGUGGCUGGUGGCUGACUGAUUCCCCCGGCGGUGGUGGUCCCUUCACUCCCUGUACAGUAGUGCACUUGGGUGUCCGUCAAUGGUUUUGUUUUAUUCACAUGUGGUGUGGUGCAUCAGGACCCUUCCCUUCCCCCCUUCAGUUAGUCAUCUCUGCCUGGUAAGCCCUCAGCCCUGUGCCUAGUGACUGUCUUUCGGUGGCAAACUUAACUAAUCCAGGGGGGCCCCUGGAGGAUUAGAUUAAUAUUGUGCCACUUACUACCGAGUUAUUUCUUGGCAUCACCACCAAGGGUUUUUUAGUGAGGAAAGAGUGUAAAUUUUUAAAUACUGUUAAUAAAUUUCAUUUUUCUAUACUUUAUUUGGAAUCGCGUCAGUCUCUGGUGUCUGUCGUACCUGUGUGACCUUUCCUUUGUCUGUAUUGGAGCAGUGGUCCUCUCUCCAUAGAUCUCCUGGGGGUGAAAUUCCCCCAGG
ensembl:lncRNA